GCGUAAAGGUGUGCGUCCCAGUAGCCGGGGGUGUGAGUAUCAGUUAGUCAGUCAGUGCUGAUCUGAGAGGAGAUGGUGCACGAGUAAGCGCAAUGAGCUGGUUCUUUACCCCCCUGGUCAGUGCAGCGACCCUCCAUUCAACCUGCAGCUCUUACGCAUUUCCUACCGCCAGUUGAGUGAUGCUGGAAAUUAUAGGUUUGCGCAGAGGACAUACUCAAAUCCCAGUAUGGGGAGGGGGAAGGAUCAGGUGGUAAUAUGGCAACUAGCCUACUCUUCUUGUUCACACGAAAACGUAUGGGAUGAGGGUCAUCGACAAUAAUUAUCUUUGAACUAAAUGUAUAUUCUACUGCAAUGUCUAAUAGACCCACAACUUAAGUUAUGAACGGUAUGGUGGCCCACUACAUUAUAUCGUUUAGACUUCCCGGGUACAGCCUAAACCUUGUCCGGAAGAGCAGCCCUUCUCUCGGCGCCGUUUGGCGCUUGUUUUCUGUCAACACUGAGCAGCGGGCGUGGAAAUGUUCCACCAUAACUAUUAAUCACUUCAAGCGGACAUGGAGCGCAUCCCACUCCCACAACCACGCCACCCUUUGUCUUCUCAAACUACAACUUGAGCCGUUUAAACUUUUUAAAAUCCGAGCUGGAGGGGACCAUCUCUUAUCAGUUUACCUUUCAGACGACUUUGUGGAAGAUUGGGAGUGAGGAGUUCGGCCAGAUUUGCAUACCACUGCACCAGCUCAGAGUGCACAUGCAUGGCAUGCCGGGGAGAGUCUGUGGCUGGAGCUGACGGUGGACGGAAAACAGACCCUCUCUCCCACGCCGGGUUUCGCCACCGCACCUGAACUUUUUCCUGACCCGAGCCGAGGCCCAGAGAGUCGAGUGUGAAGUUAUUUGGGGUCAAAAAACAAGGAGAGGAUGGAGACUACAAAACCAAUUACGAACAUAACUAAACCUCCCGUUUUCAGCUGGGAAAGUUUUGGAGACUUUUUAGGAUGGGUGUUUGUCCUUUUCAGCAGUUUCAAGUUUCAAAGUUUAUUCGCCACUGCACAGAAUUCAACAGGUGUAAAACCGUACAGUGGAAUUCUUGAUUAGAGAGCUAGUUCCAAUAAUCCGUGAUAAUACUAUAGUAAUACUAUACACUAGUGAUAAUACUAUAGAAAAUAACCGAACAUAUAAUACAAAAUGCAAUCAAGAAUACAAACCACACAAGAUGAUUAGCCUAUUACAGCAUUUGGUUAGUUUCUUUGUUUAUACUUUUUCUGAGUUAUUUCUUCAGAUAUAUCAAACUCUCAACAUUCCCCGGCCACCAAGAGGACUUGAGCUGUCGACCUCUCCACACCCUCUGUCUUUGGGUGUUCGCCAGACGGCGGUGGCUAUAGGCUACAUAUCUCCCCACAAUGUUGACAUUUGAAGCUCUUAACAGCGAGCCUUGGGUUACCGAUACACUCAGCAGAAGAUAACUCUUUCUCAGGGGUUUACAUUGACCAACAUCAAGGCUAAUGCGAAAUUCAACGCCUUAAACUGGCUUGGCGUCCAAGCUAAGACAAAGAAGCCUCGGUGGAUCUCGCUAUACACGGCUACACGGACUGACUUCUGGUCUGCUGGUUUGUUUCAAUCUGGCCUCCAGAACGCAUGUAGCCAAGACCACCUGAGAGCCUAUCUAUCAAGAUAAUAUCCAAGGAAGGCCAUCAACAGAGCUCCUUGCACCUUUAGAGGAAGAUGGAAGCUGGCUGCGGAUGACACUGAACUUGGCCUAAAGCGAGCUCUGCUGGUGGCUCCGGGAGGAUGCAGAUUUAUCUUUCUGCUAUGGCUGACCUCGCGGUGAACCGCGCGCUGGGGACGGUUCUUUUUUUCUGCCUGGCAUUGUCUGCCUUGCUGUGCAACGCAUAAGGGACCCCGAUUUGGACAUUUUAAUUGUGUAACAAUGGUCUAAUUUUCUCCCCAGACGUCACAAUGAUAAUGGCAUAGAAUAAUGGUUUUACUUAUAUUUUCUACACCACAAACUGUAAUGGAAAUAAAGUUACAUUUCGUUGCAUUGG